AUGCACGCAGACAGGCUCAUGAAAAUCCACUCGGCAGCUCCUCGCAGCAGGACAGCCUGCGCCCUCGCAGGGCCUCCAGGUGUCCCUUUGGGCAGAAGGAAAAACACAGCGCGUCUGCAUCCAUCUGAAUCAGUGUGCAGAAGCAGGCCAAAAAGCAAGGCACGGGGCGAGAGAAGCCCUCCCCAGCCUCCUGCUCUGAACAAAGGUCCAGCCCUCUCUUCGUGCAGCCAGCACCCCAGGACCCCUCUUCCGAUCAGCCUAUUAACCUUUGGCCCAGCCGGCUGCAGACCUGCCUUUCCUGGCCCUGCGCUGCGCCCCAGGCCCACCUGCCCACGACCACGCGGCGGGCGGACGAGGCGAUGCGCAGGGAGCCAGCCUCUCCCUACUCAGACCUCCCGGGCUCCUGCGAGCUCAGCCAUCCUGCAUCAGCACCAGCGCGCUCGGUCGCCUCCCCGACCCGCCCCUUCGCCCCGCCCUGCCUCGGCACAGCCCUGGUCGGUUACGUCACUGCGGGGAUCCGCCCCGCCCUCGCUCAGGCUCCGAGAGCGAAGCAUCCUGGGACUUGUAGUCGCUGCACCUGCGGGUGAAAAGACUUGGAUGCUUGGAGUUGGCUUUCGGGAAUAGCGGCGGUGCCUAGGGUGACGCAUCCGACAACCUGCAGAUCUUGGGUGGCUGCCCAAGUCAAUAAAACGACGGAUGUCGCAUCCAAUAUUCCCGGUUAAAAUCUCUAUAACUAACAAGGUCUAUAUUAUCUCCUUACAUCUUUUCAUGAUCCCACAGGAAAGUCCCCUCUUAAGACCGUGUCCAACUAAACAGUUAUGGAGCAUUUUCUUUGUGCUCAACAGUUAUUAAGCGUUGUGAGGAAAUUAGAAGGGAAAUGAGAUUUGCAUGGAUAUUUGAAGCCAGUAAUUCCUGAAAAAGCUUGUUCAUACAUUUUUUGGGUCAGGAACUCCGUUAAUAUGUGAUGAAAGUUAGGGACCUUUCCCAUAACGGAAACAAAGACAAAUAAACCCGUACACACCCACAGAUUUUUUUCACGCUAUUUCAGAGGGUCACUCUUGCUUGGAAAAUCCCAUAAAUGGAGGAGCCUGGUAGGCUGCAAUCCAUGGGGUCGCUAAGAGUUGGAUACGACUGAGCUUCUUCACUUUCACUUUUCACUUUCAUGCGUUGGAGAAGGAAAUGGCAACCCACUCCAGUGUUCUUGCCUGGAGAAUCCCAGGGACGGGGGAGCCUGGUGGGCUGCCAUCUAUGGGGUCGCACAGAGUCGGACACGACUGAAGUGACGCAGCAGCAGGGACAAUCGAACCCUGCCUUUAACACCCAGGUUAAGAAAUUCUUAAUUACUAGUAUUUAUUGUAUAGUUUUGGAGCAGGAAAUGGCAACCCACUCCAGUACUCUUGCCUGCAGAAUCCCAUGGACAGAGGAGCUUGGC
rnacentral:lncRNA from 1 species